rnacentral:rRNA from 1 species
GUAGGUGGCAAGCGUUGUCCGGAAUUAUUGGGCGUAAAGCGCGCGCAGGCGGUCCUUUAAGUCUGAUGUGAAAGCCCACGGCUCAACCGUGGAGGGUCAUUGGAAACUGGGGGACUUGAGUACAGAAGAGGAAAGCGGAAUUCCAAGUGUAGCGGUGAAAUGCGUAGAGAUUUGGAGGAACACCAGUGGCGAAGGCGGCCUUCUGGUCUGUAACUGACGCUGAGGCGCGAAAGCGUGGGGAGCAAACAGGGAUUAGAUACCCUGGUAGUCCACGCCGUAAACGAUGAGUGCUAAGUGUUAGGGGGUUUCCCGCCCCUUAGUGCUGCAGCUAACGCAUUAAGCACUCCGCCUGGGGAGUACGGCCGCAAGGCUG